AUUGAACGCUGGCGGCAGGCCUAACACAUGCAAGUCGAGCGAGCGGCGGACGGGUGAGUAAUGUCUGGGAAACUGACUGAUGGAGGCGGAUAAAUACUGGAAACGGUAGCUAAUACCGCAUACCAUCGGAUGUGCCCAGAGGGGAUUAGCUAGUAGGGGGGGUAACGGCGAACCAAGGCGACGAUCCCUAGCUGGUCUCCUAGGAUGACCCGCCACACGUGAACUGAGACACGGUCCAUACGCCUACGGGCGGCAGCAGUGGGGAAUAUUGCACAAUGGGCGCAAGCCUGAUGCAGCCAUGCUGCGUGUAUGAAGAAGGCCUUCGGGUUGUAAAGUACUUACAGCGGGGAGGCGGUACCCGCAGAAGAAGCACCUGCUAACUCCGUGCCAGCAGCCGCGGUAAUAC
rnacentral:rRNA from 1 species